GACGAACGCUGGCGGCGUGCCUAAUACAUGCAAGUAGAACGCACAGUUUAUACCGUAGCUUGCUACACCAUAAACUGUGAGUUGCGAACGGGUGAGUAACGCGUAGGUAACCUGCCUGGUAGCGGGGGAUAACUAUUGGAAACGAUAGCUAAUACCGCAUAAUAUUGAUUAUUGCAUGAUAAUUGAUUGAAAGAUGCUAUUGCAUCACUACCAGAUGGACCUGCGUUGUAUUAGCUAGUAGGUGAGGUAACGGCUCACCUAGGCGACGAUACAUAGCCGACCUGAGAGGGUGAUCGGCCACACUGGGACUGAGACACGGCCCAGACUCCUACGGGAGGCAGCAGUAGGGAAUCUUCGGCAAAGGACGAAAGUCUGACCGAGCAACGCCGCGUGAGUGAAGAAGGUUUUCGGAUCGUAAAGCUCUGUUGUAAGAGAAGAACGGGUGUGAGAGUGGAAAGUUCGCACUGCGACGGUAUCUUACCAGAAAGGGACGGCUAACUACGU
rnacentral:rRNA from 1 species